UCAGACAGGAAAUGCUUUGGAGAAGAACUCUCUUAUCUUUUAGUGUGAACUGGAUGAACAUAUCGGAUUCAGAACUAGAGAACUAGUGAAAAAUGGAACAGGAUUUGGAGUGCUUCCUCCUCUCCGAGAACGAACAUCAAGCCUAUGAUGAGUGUUGUCCUUGGGGAAUGUCCACCUUUUCAGUCUCGAAUGCCCUCAAAACUCUGCUACGAUCCAUAACUGUUCGUCUCAGAUCAGCCAGAAGGGAAUUGGUGAGUGACGGGUUAUGGACCCUCCAGAGCCAUGAUGUGCCAAAACUUUGGGCCAUGUCUUCAAAAAGCAUCCACAAAUCAGAGAAACGGGGGGCAAGUUUUGACGGCUGCUUUUAAAAAGAAUGUGACGCCACCUAGAAUCAGGCCAUUGGCGGAAGCAAAUCGCCCUCAUCUCUGUGAUUGAUGACAUUCUCAAACUAUUUACCUCCCCUUGCGGUUUGAGGAAGAUGAUCAAACUAGUCAAAACUGAUGACCAUCAUUUCAAUCCAAGGCAAGUCGGUGUGGUCACCUUGUUCAUAUUUAUUUUGGACUUGCUCAGCGAUCUCGGCCAUGUGCUCGCCGGGGAUCGAACAAUAAAACGCUUUUUCAAGAACAGGAUUGACACGGGGAUCGCUUUGUUCAUUGGAAGCCUUCUUAUCCCUUGGGCUUUCUUCUUUCUGACGAGUAAGGAGGGUAAAAUAUCCUACCUGUACGUUAUUCUCGUCACCCUUCUUGGUACUAUGACAAUGGGGCUGGUUUCCGAUCAAAUUACUCUACUUUUGUUCCUCAUGCCAAGGAAUGAAAAAUUGGAACGCGCCUUUCACAAACUGAGGAUCGAUCCAAGACUUUCCAAACCCGAGAUUAACGACCAAUUCAAGGCCAAACUGAAGCAGGCGCUUCUCAAACAGGAUCUUCCAUUGCAAACUAAACUCAAGUGGAAUAUGCUAGUCAUUAGAGAUCUGAAAUAAACAUCGAAUAUUUCAGGCAUGUUCCUAGACACCCCAAGGUUUCACAUAAUACUCGUAGAACUUGCCUUUUCGUUCCUCAUUGUCUCUAGUUUAGCUUAGAGCUCAAAAUGAUAGGGACAUCAGCCUUACAAUGGAUCCAUUUCAAGCUUUUGUUGAGGCUCGAGCUUAAGAAAAGACA